rnacentral:rRNA from 1 species
UACAGAGGGUGCGAGCGUUGUCCGGAAUCACUGGGCGUAAAGGGCGCGUAGGCGGCUUGAUAAGCGUGCGGUGAAAGCCCGGGGCUCAACCCCGGGUCGGCCGUGCGAACUGUCGAGCUGGAGCACUGUAGAGGCAGGUGGAAUUCCGGGUGUAGCGGUGGAAUGCGUAGAGAUCCGGAAGAACACCGGUGGCGAAGGCGGAUCUCUGGGCCUUGCCUGACGCUGAGGCGCGAAAGCUAGGGGAGCGAACAGG